rnacentral:lncRNA from 1 species
AAAAACAAAGAUUUUCCUUUCAAUCAAUUCACCAUGAUGCAGAUCAGCUCCACCGUACCAGCCCACAACCUUCACAAGUUCCAGGCCAUAAGGUGCCCCAGCUUCAGCUUCAGAUGCCAAGCCUCCUCAUCCUCAACCUUUCAGAAGCCCUUUGUCACCACCGAGUCAACUCGCUUGCACCUCGCCAACCUCGACAAGCUCCUCGAGACCCAGAUGCCCGUCGCCCCACCCACCCAAAUCCACCACCACCAACAACACCCGCACCAACCAAUCAUCAACCACCCGAAGGAAAAGAAAGGAAGAAGCUUUCUAGAAGGGCUCAACUUGGCCAGGCUCUGGCCGGAGAUGAAGGCGAACGAAGAAAUGUCCCCGCGCCACCUCAAUCGCCUCCAGCGGCUGCUCUCCAUGACGGCGGAGUACUCCCCGAGGAACAUCCUCGGCGGGCGGUGGAGAGAGUACCACGGCAGCAACG